rnacentral:rRNA from 1 species
UACGUAGGUGGCAAGCGAUACUCGGAAUCACUAGGCGUAAAGCGCAGGUAGGCGGUUCGGUAAGUCUUUUGUGAAAGCUCCCGGCUCAACUGGGAGAGGCCAAGGGAAACUACUGGACUAGAGUGUGGUAGGGGAUACUGGAAUUCCUGGUGUAGCGGUGAAAUGCGUAGAUAUCAGGAGGAAUACCUAUGGCGAAAGCAGGUAUCUGGGCCAUCACUGACGCUGAGCUGCGAAAGCUAGGGGAGCAAACAGG